CUACGGGUUGCAGCAGUAAGGAAUCUUCCACAAUGGGCGAAAGCCUGAUGGAGCAAUACCGCGUGGGCGAUGAAGGUCGUAAGAUUGUAAAGCCCUUUUCUGAGGGAAUAAUUCUGAAGGUACCUCAGGAAUAAGCACCGGCUAACUCCGUGCCAGCAGCCGCGGUAAUACGGAGGGUGCAAGCGUUACCCGGAAUCAUUGGGCGUAAAGCGUCCGCAGCCGGUUUUUUAAGUUGCUUAUUAAAUCUUAAAGCCCAACUUUGAGGCUGUAAGCAAAACUGGAUAACUAGAGACUUUCAGGGGCACGUGGAAUUCUGUGUGUAGGGGUAAAAUCCGUAGAUACACAGAGGAACACCAAAAGCGAAGGCAACGUGCUGGGAAAGUUCUGACGGUCAGGGACGAAAGCGUGGGUAGCGAACGGGAUUAGAUACCCGGGUAGUC
rnacentral:rRNA from 1 species